rnacentral:lncRNA from 1 species
AGGAAGCAACCGUUGCCUCCUUAUGCACCAUCUUGCUCGUCUCAGCACUGUUCUUGCAUCCCAUUUGUGUCAUGCCAAUGUCCAUGAUCGUGCCAGCUCUGAUACCACUUGUCACAGGCUUAACCUUUCACUAGAUCAAACCCGUGCGGCACCCCAAUGUCACUUGCACAAAGGAGCCAACCAAUGCAUGCUAGCGAUGGAAAACCAAAGUGGCAAACAAGGCAAACAUGUAAAAGGCACAAGAAAGGCAAGACAACACACUU